AUAACGACUCUCGGCAACGGAUAUCUCGGCUCUCGCAUCGAUGAAGAACGUAGCGAACUGCGAUACUUGGGUGUGAAUUGCAGAAUCCCGUGAACCAUCGAGUCUUUGAACGCAAGUUGCGCCCGAAACCUUUGGUCGAGGGCACGUUUGCCUGGGUGUCACA
rnacentral:rRNA from 1 species